rnacentral:rRNA from 1 species
GACGAACGCUGGCGGCGUGCUUAACACAUGCACGUCGAACGGUAAGGCCCUUCGGGGUACACGAGUGGCGAACGGGUGAGUAACACGUGGGUGAUCUGCCCUGCACUUCGGGAUAAGCCUGGGAAACUGGGGCUAAUACCGGAUAGGACCACUGCCUGCAUGUCCUGGGGUGGAAAGCUUUUGCGGUGUGGGAGGGGCCCGCGGCCUAUCAGAUUGUUGGUGGGGUGAUGGCCUACCAAGGCGACGACGGGUAGCCGGCCUGGGAGGGUGACCGGCCACACUGAGACUGAGAUACGGCCCAGACUCCUACGGGAGGCAGCAGUGGGGAAUAUUGCGCAAUGGGCGCAAGCCUGAUGCAGCGACGCCGCGUGAGGGAUGACGGCCUUCGGGUUGUAAACCUCUUUCAGCACCGACGAAGCGCAAGUGACGGUAGGUGCAGAAGAAGGACCGGCCAACUACGUGCCAGCCGCCGCGGUAAUAC